UAAGAUUUAGCAGCUUUGUAGAAUUGUUAGCUCAUGCGAUAUUUUGCGACCUAUUAAGAUUAGAUUAUCUUGUAGGUCCACUUGAUAGAAGGUUUUAGCACUGGUUUUACAAGAAGAGAAUUGUGCAAAUUUUAUCUACAGGCUUGUCCUAUCAAGGUUGAGCGGCAGGUGGUGUCGUGCGAGGCUAAGGGAGGAUGUUGCUGUAGUUUCAAUUAAUAAUUUUCGCUGCCAUAAUAUUCACUUAGGUGGAUAUCUCUUGAGAUUUGACUCUUUAAAUAUUCUUAGCCUAAUUAUUAUGAACUCUUUUGGCAAUCGCAUUUCUAGCAAUUGAACCUCGCAUAUAUGUAUGUCUAGUAUGAAGUGUUAUCUUGUUGUCUCAGACCUCCGAACUUUUGAUCCUGGUUGGGAAAAUUUUUAUCCUAAUUGUUGUAUUUAUUA